rnacentral:ncRNA from 1 species
GGAGCCUGCGGCUUAAUUUGACUCAACACGGGAAACCUCACCCGGCCCGGACACGGAAAGGAUUGACAGAUUGAUAGCUCUUUCUCGAUUCUGUGGGUGGUGGUGCAUGGCCGUUCUUAGUUGGUGGAGCGAUUUGUCUGGUUAAUUCCGAUAACGAACGAGACUCCGGCAUGCUAACUAGUUAUGCGGCCCCGAGCGGUCGGCGUCCAACUUCUUAGAGGGACAAGUGGCGUUCAGCCACACGAGAUUGAGCAAUAACAGGUCUGUGAUGCCCUUAGAUGUCCGGGGCUGCACGCGCGCCACACUGAGCGGAUCAGCGUGUGUCUACCCUUCGCCGAGAGGCGUGGGUAACCCGCUGAACCCCACUCGUGAUAGGGAUUGGGGAUUGCAAUUAUUCCCAUGAACG